AUUGAACGCUGGCGGCAUGCCUUACACAUGCAAGUCGAACGGCAGCACGGGUGCUUGCACCUGGUGGCGAGUGGCGAACGGGUGAGUAAUACAUCGGAACAUGUCCUGUAGUGGGGGAUAGCCCGGCGAAAGCCGGAUUAAUACCGCAUACGAUCUACGGAUGAAAGCGGGGGACCUUCGGGCCUCGCGCUAUAGGGUUGGCCGAUGGCUGAUUAGCUAGUUGGUGGGGUAAAGGCCUACCAAGGCGACGAUCAGUAGUUGGUCUGAGAGGACGACCAGCCACACUGGGACUGAGACACGGCCCAGACUCCUACGGGAGGCAGCAGUGGGGAAUUUUGGACAAUGGGCGAAAGCCUGAUCCAGCAAUGCCGCGUGUGUGAAGAAGGCCUUCGGGUUGUAAAGCACUUUUGUCCGGAAAGAAAUCCUUGGCUCUAAUACAGUCGGGGGAUGACGGUACCGGAAGAAUAAGCACCGGCUAACUACGUG
rnacentral:rRNA from 1 species